rnacentral:rRNA from 1 species
CCUACGGGAGGCAGCAGUGGGGAAUAUUGCACAAUGGGGGAAACCCUGAUGCAGCGACGCCGCGUGAGUGAAGAAGUAAUUCGUUACGUAAAGCUCUAUCAGCGGGGAAGAAAGUGAUGGUACCUGAGUACGAAGCGCCGGCUAACUACGUGCCAGCAGCCGCGGUAAGACGUAGGGGGCAAGGGUGAUCCGGAUUUACUGGUUGUAAAGGUAGCGUAGACGGUGCGCCAAGUCGGGAGUGAAAUGCCGCGGCUUAACUGCGGAACUGCUAUGGAAACUGGCGCACUAGAGUGCGGGAGUGGUAAGCAGAAUUCCUAGUGUAGAGGUGAAAUGCGUAGAUAUUAGGAGGAACACCGGUGGCGAAGGCGGCCUCCUGGACCGUGACUGACGCUGAGGCUCGAAAGCGUGGGGAGCAAACAGGAUUAGAUACCCCAGUAGUC